rnacentral:rRNA from 1 species
UGGGGGAUUUUGCACAAUGGGCGAAAGCCUGAUGCAGCGACGCCGCGUGGGGGUUGAAGGCCUUCGGGUUGUAAACUCCUUUUGUUCUGAACAAGGCAUGCCUUUGGGGUGCGUGGAGUGUAGGGGUUGAUUAGGGCCGGCAAACUCCGUGCAAGCAGCCGCGGUAAUACGCAGGGCGCGAGCGUUGUCCGGAAUUAUUGGGCGUAAAGGGCUGGUAGGUGGCGGGUUGCGUCUGUCUGGAAAGCUCAGGGCUUAACUGUGGGUUUGCGGUGGGUACGGGCUGGCUUGAGUGCAGUAGGGGAGGCUGGAAUUCCUGGGGUAGCGGUGGAAUGCGCAGAUAUCAGGAGGAAUACCGGUGGCGAAGGGGGGUCUCUGGGCUGUUACUGACGCUGAGGAGCGAAAGCGUGGGGAGCGAACAGG